rnacentral:rRNA from 1 species
UCAAAUUAUUAUGGGUUUAUGGGGAAUGCCUUGGCGUCAAAAGCCGAAGAA